GACGAACGCUGGCGGCGUGCCUAACACAUUCAAGUCGAACGAAUUUGUUUUACUUAAUCCUUCGGGAAGCGGUAAGACAAGUUAGUGGCGGACGGGUGAGUAACGCGUGAGCAACCUGCCUGUGAUAGAGGGAUAACACAUGGAAACGUGUGCUAAUACCACAUGACUCAACGGAAUCGCAUGGUUCUGUUGUUAAAGGGAAACCGAUCACAGAUGGGCUCGCGUUGGAUUAGAUAGUUGGUGAGGUAACGGCUCACCAAGUCAACGAUCCAUAGCCGAACUGAGAGGUUGAACGGCCACAUUGGAACUGAGAAACGGUCCAG
rnacentral:rRNA from 1 species